rnacentral:rRNA from 1 species
CAGUACCGCGGUAAUACGGAGGGAGCUAGCGUUGUUCGGAAUUACUGGGCGUAAAGCGCGCGUAGGCGGUUACUCAAGUCAGAGGUGAAAGCCCGGGGCUCAACCCCGGAACUGCCUUUGAAACUAGGUGACUAGAAUCUUGGAGAGGUCAGUGGAAUUCCGAGUGUAGAGGUGAAAUUCGUAGAUAUUCGGAAGAACACCAGUGGCGAAGGCGACUGACUGGACAAGUAUUGACGCUGAGGUGCGAAAGCGUGGGGAGCAAACAGGAUUAGAUACCCCAGUAGUCCCUGUCUCUUAUACC